AUCUAUUACUGUCAAUCUAUCUAUUACUGUCAAUCUAUCUAUCACUGUCAAUCUAUCUAUCACUGCUAAUCUACUACUGUCAAUCUAUCUAUCACUGUUAAUCUAUCACUGUCAAUCUAUCUACCACUGUUAAUCUAUCUACUACUGCCAAUCUAUCUAUCACUGCCAAUCUAUCUAUCACUGCCAAUCUAUAUAGAGUAAAUCAUGGUUUCAUUUGAUUUCAUUUUG
rnacentral:sRNA from 1 species